rnacentral:rRNA from 1 species
CCUUCGGGUUAGUGGCGAACGGGUGAGGAACACGUAAGAAUCUGCCCCUCGGUCGGGGACAACUUUUGGAAACGAAAGCUAAUACCCGAUACGCUGUGGAGUGAAAGAAUUUCGCCGAGGGAUGAUCUUGCGUCUGAUUAGCUAGUUGGUGCGGUAAUGGCGCACCAAGGCGACGAUCAGUAGCUGGUCUGAGAGGAUGAACAGCCACAUUGGAACUGAGACACGGUCCAAACUCC